UCCUCCGUGGCGCAAUUGGCUAGCGCGUCUGACUGUUACUGUAUCAAAGCAGAGGCGAUCAGGAGGUUGACAGUUCAAGCCUGUCCGGGGGAG